GAUGAACGCUGGCGGCGUGCCUAAUACAUGCAAGUCGAGCGAACGGACGAGAAGCUUGCUUCUCUGAUGUUAGCGGCGGACGGGUGAGUAACACGUGGAUAACCUACCUAUAAGACUGGGAUAACUUCGGGAAACCGGAGCUAAUACCGGAUAAUAUUUUGAAACGCAUGGUUCAAAAGUGAAAGACGGUCUUGCUGUCACUUAUAGAUGGAUCCGCUCUGCAUUAGCUAGUUGGUAAGGUAACGGCUUACCAAGGCAACGAUGCAUAGCCGACCUGAGAGGGUGAUCGGCCACACUGGAACUGAGACACGGUCCAAACUCCUACGGGAGGCAGCAGUAGGGAAUCUUCCGCAAUGGGCGAAAGCCUGACGGAGCAACGCCGCGUGAUUGAUGAAGGUCUUCGGAUCGUAAAACUCUUUUAUUAGGGAAGAACAUAUGUGUAAGUAACUGUGCACAUCUUGACGGUACCUAAUCAGAAAGCCACGGCUAACUACGUG
rnacentral:rRNA from 1 species